rnacentral:rRNA from 1 species
UGGGGAAUAUUGCACAAUGGGCGCAAGCCUGAUGCAGCAACGCCGCGUGAACGAUGAAGGUCUUCGGAUCGUAAAGUUCUGUUGCAGGGGAAGAUAAUGACGGUACCCUGUGAGGAAGCCCCGGCUAACUACGUGCCAGCAGCCGCGGUAAUACGUAGGGGGCUAGCGUUAUCCGGAUUUACUGGGCGUAAAGGGUGCGUAGGUGGUCUUUCAAGUCGGUGGUUAAAGGCUACGGCUCAACCGUAGUUAGCCUCCGAAACUGAAAGACUUGAGUGCAGGGGAGGAAAGUGGAAUUCCCAGUGUAGCGGUGAAAUGCGUAGAUAUUGGGAGGAACACCAGUAGCGAAGGCGGCUUUCUGGACUGCAACUGACACUGAGGCACGAAAGCGUGGGUAGCAAACAGG